CACGUAGGGGGCGAGCGUUGUCCGGAUUUAUUGGGCGUAAAGAGCUCGUAGGUGGCUUAGUAAGUCGGGUGUGAAACCUCCAGGCUCAACCUGGAGACGCCACCCGAUACUGCUAUAGCUUGAGCCCGGUAGGGGAGCGUGGAAUUCCUGGGUGUAGCGGUGGAAUGCGUAGAGAUCGGGGAAGAACAUCAGUGGCGAAGGCGGCCUGCUGGGCUGUUGCUGACGCUGAGGCGGCGACAGCGUGGGGAGCAAACAGG
rnacentral:rRNA from 1 species